rnacentral:rRNA from 1 species
UUGGAGGGCAAGUCUGGUGCCAGCAGCCGCGGUAAUUCCAGCUCCAAUAGCGUAUAUUAAAGUUGUUGCAGUUAAAAAGCUCGUAGUUGAACCUCGGGAUCAAUGGAUCGGUCAUGCCAAUGGUAUGUACUGGUCAUAUUGGUUCUCACCUUCUAAGGAACCAUGAUGUCAUUCAUUUGAUGUUGUGGGGAAUUAGGACUGUUACCUUGAAAAAAUUAGAGUGUUUAAAGCAGGCUAACGCUUGAAUACAUUAGCAUGGAAUAAUGAAAUAGGACAUCGCAUUCUAUUUUGUUGGUUUCUAGGAUCGAUGUAAUGAUUAAUAGGGAUAGUUGGGGGCAUUAGUAUUCAAUUGUCAGAGGUGAAAUUCUUGGAUUUAUUGAAGACUAACUACUGCGAAAGCAUUUGCCAAGGAUGUUUUCAUUAAUCAAGAACGAAAGUUAGGGGAUCGAAGACGAUCAGAUACCGUCGUAGUCUUAACCAUAAACUAUGCCGACUAGGGAUCGGAUGAUGUUAAUUUUUUAAUGACUCAUUCGGCGCCUUACGGGAAAC